rnacentral:lncRNA from 1 species
CUGGUAAAUUACCUCCCCCCACCAAUGUGAGCCAAGUGGCAACCCAUGAUUGGUCAGAACAUGGCUCCCAUGGAUCCGAUGGUUUAACAGUCCAGAUUUGAAGGUGGUUCACCUUAGAAAGUCGAUCCGUGACACAUGUCAAUAGCAAAUAGUUUGAUAAAGUCUGCCUCGACCUCAAACUAAUACUCUCUUUGACCAACCUUAUUUAAGUUCGGCCUCGAGAGUGGGGGGCAUCUGU